UCUCAAUGUCGUUCUAAGACCGUUGAGCUGGACCGGCUGUGGAGAUAAGAUCUGGCACUUGGACCAACGUCCCCUACAUCUAGAUCGUUCGUUGCUAACGCGUACCACUGUCCAGAUGAUUGAAAACACGGACGUAUUACGCAUGCAUCACAGUUGAAAUUCUAGGUUUUGUUUCGUUUGCUAUUAGGACACGCGCGUUGCCACGGAUGCAGCCGUUUUGCCUAUGUGACUUGCAGGCGAGCUGACGUGGAGACAGUAGUUGAGCUGGCACUGAUAGUGGACGAUCGUUCAAUAUUCACGUUGCAUUUCGUUACCC